CCCAAGUGGUACGUCGACAAGACUAUACAAGAGUUUCGUAGGCACUUAUCACAACACCUAAUUUAUAGGGCCCACUUCAAAGAUACACAUCAAUGCAAAGCAUGCUAAAGACUUCUCUUUGACAUGCAUUCUAAAGUACUCCUUUUUUCAAAAAAGCUUGACUGGUUGAGAGACAAGAUGAAAUUCAGCUCACUGAGGGAUAAAGUAGCAUGCUGUCUAUGGAAGUAUAAAGAAGGGGGUAGCUGCAGACUGACACAGUGAGAGAGUUACACGGAGAAGCUGCAGCAGCUUGUAAUAUGUGUUGAUUUAACCCAGCAAUGGAUUCUCAACUUUUACUGCCCAGUACCUAUCUAUAAUGCCCUCUAUACUGCUACUGCAUCCGAGGAUAGACUAUAGGAGUGCAGGAUUUCCCUUUGAGUGUAUACAUUAUAUCAGCUAGUCUCUACCCACUUAAUCUAGGGCAACCUAAAAUUAUAGAUGAAGCCAGUAGAGGGGAAAACUGGUUGUUAAAGACAACAUAUAUUACCAUUCCUCAUGCACAAACAUAAUGGUGGAUAAUAAUUAAUAUGCCA